CCCAGACUCCUACGGGAGGCAGCAGUGGGGAAUAUUGCACAAUGGGGGGAACCCUGAUGCAGCGACGCCGCGUGGGUGAAGGAGUACUUCGGUACGUAAAGCCCUAUCAGCAGGAAAGAAAAUGACGGUACCUGACUAAGAAGCCCCGGCUAACUACGUGCCAGCAGCCGCGGUAAUACGUAGGGGGCAAGCGUUAUCCGGAUUUACUGGGUGUAAAGGGAGCGUAGACGGCAGUGCAAGUCCGGAGUGAAAGCCCGGGGCUCAACCCUGGGACUGCUCUGGAAACUGUAAAGCUGGAGUGCGGGAGGGGCAGGCGGAAUUCCUGGUGUAGCGGUGAAAUGCGUAGAUAUCAGGAGGAACACCGGCGGCGAAGGCGGCCUGCUGGACCGUAACUGACGUUGAGGCUCGAAAGCGUGGGGAGCAAACAGGAUUAGAUACCCCCGUAA
rnacentral:rRNA from 1 species